AUUGAACGCUGGCGGCAGGCCUAACACAUGCAAGUCGAACGAGUGGCGGACGGGUGAGUAAUGUCUGGGAAACUGCCUGAUGGAGGGGGAUAACUACUGGCAACGGUAGCUACUACCGCAUACCAUCAGAUGUGCCCAGAUGGGAUGAGCUUGUUGGUGGGGUAAAGGAUCACAAAGGCGACGAUCCCUAUCUGGUCUGAGAGGAUGACAAUGCACACGGGAACUGAGACACGGUCCAGACGACUACGGGAGGCAGCAGUGGGGAAGAGUGCACAAUGGGCGCAAGCCUGAUGCAGCCAUGCCGCGUGUAUGAAGAAGGCCUGCGGGUUGUAAAGUACUUUCAGCGGGGAGGCGUUACCCGCAGAAGAAGCACCGGCUAACUCCGUGCCAGCAGCCGCGGUAAUAC
rnacentral:rRNA from 1 species